ACUCAAUUCUUUGAGGCAGACCGAACCUGGAAAAGACAUGGUUAAUCAACAAAGUGGCGCACACGGUACUCGUGUUCUCUUUACAAGGCAAACAUUCUAUCCAUUUUGUGUACAUACAUGUAACGGUUAACAUGUAUUUGUUACCUCUUGAAGAUCUUGUUACAGGACCUAUAAAGUCAAUUUGAAUAUCAGACCAGGGUAAUG